rnacentral:snoRNA from 1 species
AAACCUUGAUGAUGAGUUGCAUGUGAGUCCGUGUUUCACCUGAAACUCAUGAUUAUUCUUUCACUGCACUGAUGGGUUU